CACGCGCGACCGGGCGAUGGAGAACUUCAACGCAGAACCGCUACCUCCAAGGAGCCCUCCCCGGGAGGGCGCCUCGAGCUCGGACUCGGAGAUUCAGUCUCGACAUAUAUAUUAUUAUAUAUAUUAUAUAUACUAUUAUAUCUAUAUCAUAUAUGUAUUUAUAUCUAUAAAUAUAUGUAUAAAUAUAUCUAUUUAAAAAAAUAAAGUUGACCUUCAUAUAUCGCCAAUAAUAUCGCGUGUGUAAAAAGAAACUAAUUACAUUUAAUUCUUUUUUUACAUUUAUUUAUUUUUUAUUAUUAUUUUUUUUACAGCUAGUUACAUUUAAUUAUUACAUUUACAUACAUUUAACUAUUAUUACAUACAUUUACAUAGAUUUAAUUAUUAUUUUUUUCAUAAUUAUAUCUCGUUUGAAAUAUUUUUCGACAUAAUUAAUUGUUUCAAAAACACAUAUUCCAGCCUUCUAAAUGAUUUAUUUUGCGUAUUAUACGAAUUAUUCCAUCUAUAAAUAAAUUGUUCUCUCUACACACAAACACGCACACAGUCUGUUAAUUACACGAAUUAAUUGUAACAUUUUUCUCGAUAAGUUGACAGAGCAAGGAAAAUGAGCGACGAACAUACCUACAAACUAAUCUACUUCAAUGCCCGUGGUCGUGCCGAACAUAUACGGUACAUAUUUGCAUAUACUGGCAUCGAGUAUACCGACGAGAGGAUCCCCGAAGUACUCUGGCCUGAAUACAAGGAUUGUAAGCGUGAAGGAUCGAUUUUUACCUUCAUCGUUCAACUCUCAGCAAUGCCUUAUAAAAAGCUGCCUGUGCUGGAGGUAGACGGGAAACCGGUAGCGCAGGGUAACGCUGUGGCGCCAUACUUGGC